GUACUCUCGAUUCAUCUUUUGUUUUUGGAUGCAAAGUGCGGCUGUAAAGGAGAGUACAGCUCAUUAUGAGGCUGAGGUGAGGCCGUCUCUGCAGCAGAGUCUCAGAUGGAGGUAAUGAGGAGAGUUUGUCCUCCACAGAGGAGCAGGAGGAGCAGGAGGAGGAGGAGGAGGAGGAGGAGGCUCAAACACUUUAACAUAUAACACUUAAGGAAGGAUAUACAGGACGUGUAAAACUCAUCAUACAGCCAACAAACGAGCUGUAAAAGCAGGAAACAGUCUCUAUAAACGUCAGGUCUUUGAGUCUUUGAGGUUAAAAUUAAAUUCAUCAGAAUCUGUUACAGGAUGAAACAGAAGAAAGAAAUUAUUUUACAGCUUUGAAGAGCAGCUGCUUUUGUUGUGCUUUUAUUUUGGUAUUACAGUCUUACAUCCCAUUUGAUUAAGCCCACUUUUAUUUUGAAAGGCCAAAUGAAGGUCACUCUUUAAUUUAAAGACCGAAAUAUCAGUUUAUAUCAGAAAAAUAAACACAGUUUUAUUUUGAAAGGUAAAAUACCAAACCUCAGAUACAUCCUGAAGAGACUUUAGUGAGUAAAAACUGUCAGUAUAAAGACUGCAGUGGAACAUCGGGAACAUCGGUCACUCGUCUUAUGAACACUUAGAGUAACACUGGCGUUCCUGAAAGCUGAUUAACGAUGUGGUGAAGCUGACCCCGCCUCCAUUUGGGUCUCCAGCCUGUUUCUGGACAAAGAGGCGGAGCCGACUGCAGCCUCUGUGGGACAUUCGCCCCACCCUCUUCAAAAACACCAACACUCCUUUAAAACGACCCCAUCCUCCACAGACCUGCCAUGUUUAGAGACAGAUUCAGCCCCCCCGCUGACUGAAAUCCAGAGUCCUGAUCCAGCAGUGAUUACAUUUACACUCUGCUGUGUGUCUCUGUGACCCCCGUGGAGAUAAUGUCAGGAUCGGUUUCAGACAGAAUCAAAUCUCCACGCCGUCUUCCUCUGAGUCUGAAUCGUCACAGGAGCUCAGGAGGGAAGAGGGAAAAAUCACACGUCUCUCAAGGUCAGAGGAGCGUGCGAGUGUGUGCGGUUACUCGGUGAAGACAGGGCGCCUCUGCUCUCCAGGGGCUCUCUGAUUGGCUGGCUGAUAUGUUACCAUGUGAAUACGCAGAGACAAAGAGUGAUCAUCCUCAUCCUCACAGAGCGCCGCUUCACUCUGCCAGGAGAGCGCACACAAACAACUCUGCAGAUUAGGUAAACUUCUGCUAAACGCUCCUCCUGGUAUGUUGGCAGCGGCGGGAAAACGGCGACAUGAUUUUAUGAGCAUGAGCUCGACUUGGACCGACAAACAGAACCGUGUUGACUGUGAUCAUUUUCCAGUAAAUACAGGCUCAGCAGAGUAAACUCGUCCUCCCUGAAGGUAAUGCCAGGACUUUGUUCAGCAGUUUCAGGAACUCCUGUUGGGAGUUUGAGGAGAAGUUUCAUCUUCGUGUUUUUCAGAGCCGGUUUAGCUCUCGGUGUUUAUGAAGCUGGUCUCACGCACGGCUAACAACGCUCCCCUGGCUCCUGAUUGGAUGUAGGAAACUGAUCACGCUUUAUAAGAAGUCGGAGUUUGAAGAAUAGUUUCAUAUUUGUGUUUAUCCCCUCGUUCUUUCAGAUGUGGUGAUUUUUUGUGUUCAGACGUCCGUCUCUGUUUACGUGUCGUUGCCAUGGUUGCAUUUGUUGCGCUUCUGCUUCGGUCAGCUCACUUCCUGAUUGGCUUUUGAGUUGUCCAACUUAAAGGUCACCACAUUGUUAUUAAUUCUCAGGCUUUCUGUCCAUUUUUCUUUCUCAGUUUCGGUCUCAGCAGACUCCAUUAUACUGAUGUAUUUGUCUUGCUCCACACUAAGUGUGCCAAUGAACAUGUCAUCCUCUUCUUCACUCUGCACUACAGCAUGCAUUCUCCUUCUGUAUUGCUGCUGCUUCUUCCAUGAGCCUGACUGACUCUGUGAUCUGCACAUUUUAGCAAAGUGAUUUUUCUUUUGACACUUUUUGCAUAUUUGGCCAAGUGCAGGACAUGCAUUAGCUCCAUGUUUAAAGCCACAUCUAUUGCAGCUCGCCUCGGUCUGCUGUUCUGCAUUUGCUUUCACUCGAAAGUCUUUCUUUUUGACAGUUUUAACAGCGUUCAUUUCAACCUCUUCUGUCAGUGCUUUGACUUGAGUAUUUGGUAGCUCGCUCGCCCUGCAAAUAUCAACGGCCUUUUUCAGUGUCAAAUCAGCCUCUCUCAACAGUCUGCCUCUCACUUGGUCGUUAGUUAUUCCACACACAAUGCGGUCACGUACCAGGGAAUCGUGCAGAUCUCCAAACUCGCAGUCCUUUGCCUUGCUCUUUAGAUCCGUCACAUAUGAAUCAAUGGGCUCCGACUGCUUCUGUGCUCGGGUAAAGAAUACGUGCCGUAUGUACGUUAAGUUCUUCCGCGGCUCACAGUACUCCUUAAAUUUCCUCUCCAGCACAGCUAUCUUGUCCUUCUCCGCGUCGGCGAAGACGAAUGUGUUGCACACCUUAAUCGCCUCCUCU